rnacentral:rRNA from 1 species
GCCCGGAGAUAGCUGGUUCUCCCCGAAAUAGCUUUAGGGCUAGCCUCAAGGUGAGAGAUACGGAGGUAGAGCACUGAAUGUCCUAGGGGGUAUUGCACCUACCGAAGACUAUCAAACUCCGAAUGCCGUCAUCUUAUACUUGGGAGUCAGACUGUGGGUGAUAAGAUUCAUAGUCGAAAGGGCAACAGCCCAGAUCGUCAGCUAAGGUCCCUAAAUGUAAGUUAAGUGGUAAAGGAUGUGGGAUUGCACAGACAACCAGGAUGUUGGCUUAGAAGCAGCCACUCAUUCAAAGAGUGCGUAAUAGCUCACUGGUCGAGUGAUCCUGCGCCGAAGAUUUCCGGGGCUAAAAAUAACUACCGAGGCUACGGAAUCAUUAUGAGGGGUAGGGGAGCUUCCCAUACGGGUUGAGGCAUGACAGAAAGGACAGGUGGACAGGAUGGGAGGGAGAAGGUGGGCAUGAGUGGCGGGAUGUGGGUGGGAAUCCCGCAGGCCGUAAACCCAAGGUUUCCAGGGGAAGGUUCGUCCGCCCUGGGUUAGUCGGGCCCUAAGCUGAGGCCGAAAGGCGUAGGUGAUGGACAACAGGUUGAUAUUCCUGUACUACCGAUAACCGUUUGAGAGAAGGGAUGACACAGUAGGAUAAGCUAAGCACACUGUUG